rnacentral:rRNA from 1 species
ACGAACGCUGGCGGCGUGCUUAACACCUGCAAGUCGCACGGAAAGGCCCUGCUUGCAGGGUGCUCGAGUGGCGAACGGGUGAGUAACACGUGGGUGAUCUGCCCCUUACUUUGGGGUAAGCCUGGGAAACUGGGUCUAAUACUGGAUAGGACCAUGCUGUAGGUGGUGUGGUGGAAAGAUUAGUUUCGGUAAGGGAUGAGCUCGCGGCCUAUCAGCUUGUUGGUGGGGUAAUGGCCUACCAAGGCGUCGACGGGUAGCCGGCCUGAGAGGGUGGACGGCCACAUUGGGACUGAGAUACGGCCCAGACGCCUACGGGAGGCAGCAGUGGGGAAUAUUGCACAAUGGGCGCAAGCCGGAUGCAGCGACGCCGCGUGGGGGAUGACGGCCUUCGGGUUGUAAACUCCUUUCAGCCAUGACGAAGCCCUUGUGGUGACGGUAGUGGUAGAAGAAGCACCGGCUAACUACGUG